UACGUAGGGUCCGAGCGUUGUCCGGAAUUAUUGGGCGUAAAGGGCUCGUAGGCGGUUUGUCACGUCGGGAGUGAAAAACUCAGGGCUCAACCCUGAGCGUGCUUCCGAUACGGGCAGACUAGAGGUAUGCAGGGGGAGAACGGAAUUCCUGGUGUAGCGGUGGAAUGCGCAGAUAUCAGGAGGAACACCGGUGGCGAAGGCGGUUCUCUGGGCAUUACCUGACGCUGAGGAGCGAAAGCAUGGGGAGCGAACAGG
rnacentral:rRNA from 1 species